CCUGCAGCUCCCAUUGGCCACAGUUCCCAGCCAAUGGUAGCUGCAGAUCCAGUGCUCAGGGCAGGGGCAGUGUGAGGAGCCCCUGUGGCCACCCUUGCACACCUAGGAGCUG